rnacentral:misc_RNA from 1 species
UUUCCAACUAUUUGAUUUUGAUCAAAAGACAAGUGCCAGAGCUUUCUUGAGAAGUUGCUAAUUUGUUCAGGCAACUUCCCCCCAAAGUUGUUGACCCCUAUUUGUACGGCCUCUAGAGUGGUAGUAUUGGCCAAAGAUGAGAGAAAGAUCAAGUCAUCAGCUUCUCCGCUGCCAAGAUUGUUGGUGAACACAGUUAUCCAACGAAGCCUAUGAAUCUUUUCCAGGGAAGGCACUUUCCCAGUAAACUGAUUUUCAUCUAGCUGAAGCACUUCUAAUUUUGAGGAGUUGGAUAUUGAAUUGGGAAUGGUUCCAGUGAACUGGUUUCUGGAGAUGGAGAAGAAGAACAAAUUUGGAAAAGAAAUGCCCAAGUCGGGUGGAAGAGUACCUUGGAUCUGGUAAUUAGAUCCUAUGUCCAAAACUCUAAGAAAAGAAAGAUUGAAUAUUGAAGAUGGGAUCAAACCUGAAAAACUAUUUUGAGAGAGUGCUAAUAUUGUGAGGUUCCUCAAUUGGCCUAGUGUGGAUGGAAGACUUCCAGACAGGUUAUUUUGAUAGAGAAUGAGUGCAUCAAGGGAAGACACAUUUCCGAAAGAUGGAGGGAUAGUUCCUGUUAGACGGUUGUUUGAUAGAGCAAGUCUAUUGAGCUUGAGCAAGGAGGUAAGCUCCAUAGGAAGUACUCCUUCCAGAUUGUUGUUGCUGCAUUGAAUAAGAAUAAGGUUAGAACAAGAAGAAAUAUUUGGAGGGAUUACUCCACCUAGUGAAUUAUUGGCUAGGUCCAAUCUUUCCAAUCUGCGCAAGAAAACAAUCUGUGGAGGGAUCUCACCGUUGAAAUUGUUGUCGUAGAGAUUCAAGUCUCUUAAGAAGCUCAAGUUGCCAAUAUGUGGCGAUAUAGAACCAAAGAGCUUCAAGGACACUAGCUUCAGUGCCGUCACUCUUUGGUGCCUCCUACCACAUGUAACACCAUACCAUUGGCAGAAAUGUGUGGUAUCAUUCCAGGAGUUAAAAACUCCCGAGGGGUCGUGCUCUAUUUUGGCCUUGAAUUCGAGCAAGGCUAGUCGGUCGAUCUCAUUCCCAGCAACUGUUGUAGAGGUGAUCAAGAUCAUGCACAUGAGAAGAGCAACAAUUUGGAAGCAAAAGGAUGAAAAACAUGCCAAUGGAUUCAUGUGAUGAGAGAGGUUUGGAUACAUCUAGCUAGCAAUUCCAACAAGGCAUUGGGAAAAGAAGAAAUGGA